AGGGGUAUAGCUCAAGCAGUAGAGUGCAUGCUUAGAAUGCACGAGGUUCUGGGUUCAAUCCCCAGUACCUCCU
rnacentral:tRNA from 1 species